UAUGUGAUCGUCUCUCGCAUAUCAAUAAGCGGAGGAAAAGAAACUAACAAGGAUUCCCCUAGUAACGGCGAGUGAAGCGGGAAGAGCUCAAAUUUGAAAUCUUAAAGGGUUUCCCUUUACGAAUUGUAGUUUAAAGAAGUGUUUUCUGUUGAGGUUUUGGUAAAAGUUCUUUGGAAUAGGACAUCAUAGAGGGUGAGAAUCCCGUAUUUGACCUUUACUUUCAACUUUGUGAUACACUUUCAAAGAGUCGGAUUGUUUGGGAAUGCAGUCCAAAAUGGGUGGUAAAUUUCAUCUAAAGCUAAAUAUUGGCGAGAGACCGAUAGCGAACAAGUACCGUGAGGGAAAGAUGAAAAGAACUUUGAAAAGAGAGUUAAACAGUACGUGAAAUUGUCAAAAGGGAAGCGUUUGACACCAGUGUUGUUUUUCUGAAAAUCAAUUAAAGAACUGUUUAUGCUAAGUUGUUUAGACUUUAUCAGCUAACUGUUUAGUUUUGAGCUUUUCUUUAAUGCACUUUUCAGUUAACAAGUCAACAUCAAUUUCUUUUGCUGUAAAAAAGCUUGAGGAAGGUGGCUUGAGAUUCGUCUUAAGUGUUUAUAGCCUCUUGCCUAUGCAGUCAGGAGAGAUUGAGGUCUGCAGCGUAGAUCCUUCGGGGCUAAAUGCAUUUGUGCUAAGUUAUAGCAUUUUAUAGACAACUUGUUGACUAUGAUUUGUCUUGUAGCUUACUCGCUUAUGUUAUUUUACCUACGCUUAGGAUGUUGAUCUACAGAGCGAGAGU
rnacentral:rRNA from 1 species